UACGUAGGGGGCUAUCGUUGUCCGGAAUCAUUGGGCGUAAAGAGCGUGUAGGCGGCCCGGUAAGUCCGCUGUGAAAGUCGGGGGCUCAACCCUCGAAUGCCGGUGGAUACUGUCGGGCUAGAGUGCGGAAGAGGCGAGUGGAAUUCCUGGUGUAGCGGUGAAAUGCGCAGAUAUCAGGAGGAACACCGGUGGCGAAGGCGGAUCUCUGGGCCAUUACUGACGCUGAGGAGCGAAAGCGUGGGGAGCGAACAGG
rnacentral:rRNA from 1 species